GCGGGAUUAGUAUAGUGGCAGUACAUGACCUUCCCAAGGUUAGGGCGCCAGUUCGAUCCUGGUAUCCCGCU
rnacentral:tRNA from 1 species